AUUGAACGCUGGCGGCAGGCCUAACACAUGCAAGUCGAGCGGAUGAAGGGAGCUUGCUCCUGGAUUCAGCGGCGGACGGGUGAGUAAUGCCUAGGAAUCUGCCUGGUAGUGGGGGAUAACGUCCGGAAACGGGCGCUAAUACCGCAUACGUCCUGAGGGAGAAAGUGGGGGAUCUUCGGACCUCACGCUAUCAGAUGAGCCUAGGUCGGAUUAGCUAGUUGGUGGGGUAAAGGCCUACCAAGGCGACGAUCCGUAACUGGUCUGAGAGGAUGAUCAGUCACACUGGAACUGAGACACGGUCCAGACUCCUACGGGAGGCAGCAGUGGGGAAUAUUGGACAAUGGGCGAAAGCCUGAUCCAGCCAUGCCGCGUGUGUGAAGAAGGUCUUCGGAUUGUAAAGCUCUUUAAGUUGGGAGGAAGGGCAGUAAGUUAAUACCUUGCUGUUUUGACGUUACCAACAGAAUAAGCCCCGGCUAACUUCGUG
rnacentral:rRNA from 1 species